rnacentral:rRNA from 1 species
UACGUAGGCAGCGAGCGUUGUUCGGAGUUACUGGGCGUAAAGAGUGCGUAGGCGGUUUUCUAAGUUUGGUGUGAAAUCUCCCCGGCUUAACUGGGAGGGUGCGCCGAAGACUGGAAGGCUUGAGUAUGGGAGAGGUAAGCGGGAAUUCCCGGUGUAGCGGUGAAAUGCGCAGAUAUCGGGAGGAACACCCGUAGCGAAGGCGGCACUCUGGGCCGGAACUGACGCUGAGGAGCGAAAGCGUGGGGAGCAACAGAGUAGAUACCUGACGUCCA